rnacentral:misc_RNA from 1 species
CCCCUCGCCAGGACACUCUG